CUCUUUUUAACUCCUUCCCUCUUUGCGGAUUCUAGAACGGAACCUUUUUUUAAUUCUUCCCAGUAGAAACGUAGGAACAAUUUCGUGAACGCAAUCCGAAGUGCCCAACAUGGCGGCGGCCGUAAGGUGCAUGGGUAGAGCCUUGAUACAUCAUCAAAGGCAUAGCCUUUCCAAGAUGGUUUAUCAGACAUCACUUUGUUCUUGUUCUGUAAACAUCCGAGUGCCCAACAGACAUUUUGCUGCUGCUACAAAGU
rnacentral:lncRNA from 1 species